AGCGUACACGGUGGAUGCCCUGGCAGUCAGAGGCGAUGAAGGACGUGCUAAUCUGCGAAAAGCGUCGGUAAGGUGAUAUGAACCGUUACAGCCGGCGAUGUCCGAAUGGGGAAACCCAGUGUGAUUCGUCACACUAUCGUUAACUGAAUACAUAGGUUAACGAGGCGAACCGGGGGAACUGAAACAUCUAAGUACCCCGAGGAAAAGAAAUCAACCGAGAUUCCCCCAGUAGCGGCGAGCGAACGGGGAGCAGCCCAGAGUCUGAAUCAGCUUGUGUGUUAGUGGAACGGUCUGGAAAGUCCGACGGUACAGGGUGAUAGUCCCGUACACCAAAAUGCACAGGCUGUGAACUCGAAGAGUAGGGCGGGACACGUGGUAUCCUGUCUGAAUAUGGGGGGACCAUCCUCCAAGGCUAAAUACUCCUGACUGACCGAUAGUGAACCAGUACCGUGAGGGAAAGGCGAAAAGAACCCCGGCGAGGGGAGUGAAAAAGAACCUGAAACCGUGUACGUACAAGCAGUGGGAGCACCUUCGGGUGUGACUGCGUACCUUUUGUAUAAUGGGUCAGCGACUUAUAUUCUGUAGCAAGGUUAACCGUAUAGGGGAGCCGCAGGGAAACCGAGUCUUAACUGGGCGUUAAGUUGCAGGGUAUAGACCCGAAACCCGGUGAUCUAGCCAUGGGCAGGUUGAAGGUUGGGUAACACUAACUGGAGGACCGAACCGACUAAUGUUGAAAAAUUAGCGGAUGACUUGUGGCUGGGGGUGAAAGGCCAAUCAAACCGGGAGAUAGCUGGUUCUCCCCGAAAGCUAUUUAGGUAGCGCCUCGUGAACUCAUCUUCGGGGGUAGAGCACUGUUUCGGCUAGGGGGUCAUCCCGACUUACCAACCCGAUGCAAACUACGAAUACCGAAGAAUGUUAUCACGGGAGACACACGGCGGGUGCUAACGUCCGUCGUGAAGAGGGAAACAACCCAGACCGCCAGCUAAGGUCCCAAAGUCACAGUUAAGUGGGAAACGAUGUGGGAAGGCACAGACAGCCAGGAUGUUGGCUUAGAAGCAGCCAUCAUUUAAAGAAAGCGUAAUAGCUCACUGGUCGAGUCGGCCUGCGCGGAAGAUGUAACGGGGCUAAACUGUGCACCGAAGCUGCGGCAGCGACACUAUGUGUUGUUGGGUAGGGGAGCGUUCUGUAAGCCUGCGAAGGUGGCCUGUGAGGGUUGCUGGAGGUAUCAGAAGUGCGAAUGCUGACAUAAGUAACGAUAAUGCGGGUGAAAAGCCCGCACGCCGGAAGACCAAGGGUUCCUGUCCAACGUUAAUCGGGGCAGGGUGAGUCGACCCCUAAGGCGAGGCCGAAAGGCGUAGUCGAUGGGAAACAGGUUAAUAUUCCUGUACUUGGUGUUACUGCGAAGGGGGGACGGAGAAGGCUAUGUUAGCCGGGCGACGGUUGUCCCGGUUUAAGCAUGUAGGCGGAGGUUCCAGGUAAAUCCGGUACCUUUUAACGCUGAGGUGUGAUGACGAGGCACUACGGUGCUGAAGUAACAAAUGCCCUGCUUCCAGGAAAAGCCUCUAAGCAUCAGGUAACAUUGAAUCGUACCCCAAACCGACACAGGUGGUCAGGUAGAGAAUACCAAGGCGCUUGAGAGAACUCGGGUGAAGGAACUAGGCAAAAUGGUGCCGUAACUUCGGGAGAAGGCACGCUGAUAUGUAGGUGAAGCCCCUGCGGGUGGAGCUGAAAUCAGUCGAAGAUACCAGCUGGCUGCAACUGUUUAUUAAAAACACAGCACUGUGCAAACACGAAAGUGGACGUAUACGGUGUGACGCCUGCCCGGUGCCGGAAGGUUAAUUGAUGGGGUUAUCCGUAAGGAGAAGCUCUUGAUCGAAGCCCCGGUAAACGGCGGCCGUAACUAUAACGGUCCUAAGGUAGCGAAAUUCCUUGUCGGGUAAGUUCCGACCUGCACGAAUGGCGUAAUGAUGGCCAGGCUGUCUCCACCCGAGACUCAGUGAAAUUGAACUCGCUGUGAAGAUGCAGUGUACCCGCGGCAAGACGGAAAGACCCCGUGAACCUUUACUAUAGCUUGACACUGAACAUUGAGCCUUGAUGUGUAGGAUAGGUGGGAGGCUUUGAAGCGUGGACGCCAGUCUGCGUGGAGCCAACCUUGAAAUACCACCCUUUAAUGUUUGAUGUUCUAACGUUGGCCCCUAAUCGGGGUUGCGGACAGUGUCUGGUGGGUAGUUUGACUGGGGCGGUCUCCUCCCAAAGAGUAACGGAGGAGCACGAAGGUUAGCUAAUCCUGGUCGGACAUCAGGAGGUUAGUGCAAUGGCAUAAGCUAGCUUGACUGCGAGCGUGACGGCGCGAGCAGGUGCGAAAGCAGGUCAUAGUGAUCCGGUGGUUCUGAAUGGAAGGGCCAUCGCUCAACGGAUAAAAGGUACUCCGGGGAUAACAGGCUGAUACCGCCCAAGAGUUCAUAUCGACGGCGGUGUUUGGCACCUCGAUGUCGGCUCAUCACAUCCUGGGGCUGAAGUAGGUCCCAAGGGUAUGGCUGUUCGCCAUUUAAAGUGGUACGCGAGCUGGGUUUAGAACGUCGUGAGACAGUUCGGUCCCUAUCUGCCGUGGGCGCUGGAGAAUUGAGGGGGGCUGCUCCUAGUACGAGAGGACCGGAGUGGACGCAUCACUGGUGUUCGGGUUGUCAUGCCAAUGGCAUUGCCCGGUAGCUAAAUGCGGAAGAGAUAAGUGCUGAAAGCAUCUAAGCACGAAACUUGCCCCGAGAUGAGUUCU
rnacentral:rRNA from 1 species